GUAUCACAAACAGGGGAUUACGACCUCAAAGUAGGAGCAAACAGAAAAAAGAGAUUGGUUCCGUGAGAAACAAAACAUCCUCAGGGAAGAUGAAUAGAUCAUUCUCUCAGACCUUUCAAGAUCAGGCUUACCCAUGCCCUGGAAACCUGAGAUUGGAUUCCAGAUUGCUGUGCCUUAGUAACCUCAUCUUCAGUGUCAAGAACCUACUGAAGACUCCCUUCAUAUUUGCUCCAUCCCUGUAACACCCCCUACCCCAUAAAAACAAGCAAACAAACAAGCAAAGAAAAACAAAACAAAAUGAAAAACAAACAAACAAAAAAAAAAUCCCCCAAAGGUCAGAUAGGGCUGCAAAGCUCUUUAGAACGAAUUCUUAGGCAAAACACAGAAAAAUAUAUCUUUUGUAAUAAGUGUAAAAAGAUGUUCCUACAAGAAGAGGUCAUUGCCAUAGAAACUAUUGCUACAGGAUCUAGAGAGACAUGGCCAGAUCAUAAGGCCACAGAAAUGAGGGUCUUGGCCUCUUGGGUCCAGCAACAUUAAUUCUGCAAUAACCAAGUGUCAUCCAGCAGAUCCUGACUCUUCACCAAAUGAUGGAUCUGAGUAAAGUCAGCCCACAAACCCUGUGUCCUACCCUACCCCUUGUGCAACACCUCUGCACCAGAACAGCACCUGGGGGCAACAGGAGGUUCCCUGGGAUUGCUCUUGCAGCCCUCCAGGCAC